rnacentral:rRNA from 1 species
GAUGAAUGCUGGCGGCGUGCCUAACACAUGCAAGUCGAGCGGCAGCGCGAGGAGUUUACUCCUUGGCGGCGAGCGGCGGACGGCUGAGUAACGCGUGGGAACGUGCCCCGAAGUGAGGAAUAACUGCCCGAAAGGGUGGCUAAUACCGCAUAUGAUCUUCGGAUUAAAGUGUUCGGACGCUUUGGGAGCGGCCCGCGUCGGAUUAGGUUGUUGGUGAGGUAAUGGCUCACCAAGCCGACGAUCCGUAGCUGGUCUGAGAGGAUGAUCAGCCAGACUGGGACUGAGACACGGCCCAGACUCCUACGGGAGGCAGCAGUGAGGAAUCUUCCACAAUGGGCGAAAGCCUGAUGGAGCAACGCCGCGUGAAGGAUGAAGGCCCUCGGGUUGUAAACUUCUUUUAUAAGUGAAGAAUAUGACGGUAACUUAUGAAUAAGCACCGGCUAACUACGUGCCAGCCGCCGCCGUAA